rnacentral:lncRNA from 1 species
UUCGCGGUGGGCGGCUCCCGAUCAGUCCACACCCCUGCCCCGCCCACUCCCCUCCUGUAGGAAACUCCGAGACCCCGAAAGGGGUGACUCAACCGUGAUUCAACAGCGCCGCGGAGCACCGAGCUGCCCCUUCGGCGCAGGCGGAUCCAGGGCCCUGGAUUAGGUCUAAAGGCCACUUGGCACCCCACUCCCGUUCCCGAGGUGACCGAGGAACUGCAACAUGAAGCCUGAGAGAAUUUGAGCGUGACUUCUGUAGCCACGGGGGUUCCAGGAAGGAUGAUUCUCACGUUGAGGAAGGGUAAAAGGCAAAAUAUGAGAAAAUGCCAGUGGAACUUCAGAGUUAGUGAGAACGCAGAGUUCUGAGUCGGGAGAAAAAGUGACUCAGCAAAACCGAAGAAACAUCUGGCAGGGCGAACUGGCUGUUAGGAAUCAGAGAGGUCACAUUUCAUCUACACACAGGAAGCAGACAGAGGGAACCGGAAGUUGGGUGAGGCUACACAUACUCAAAGCCUCUCCUCAGUGAUGCACUUCCCCCAGCAAAGCUCUAGUUCUUAAGUGUUCUAUAACCCUACAUCCACCCUGAACAGCACCACGGAUGAGAUGCCAAAUGUUCAUACACCAGCCUGUGGGGGACAUUUUUCAUCCAAGCCAUAACGGACAGGAACAAGACUUGAUGCUGGUCCUUGGUGUGUGGCUAGAGGAGGGCGGGAGGUGACCUGGGAGGAUCUGGAGAAGGAACGAGGAUUGAAAUUUGCAGAAAGAGAAGACCAUGAAACUUGACUUCAGAUAGGGAACUGGUAACAGAUCAAAGUAACAAUGCCACUAAAGUCCAACUCGGUAAACAAAUGAGUUUUUAUGGGGUUACUUAGAGAAAUAUGGAUGAAAGAGUUCUCGUAGAAGGAGGAAUGAUUUAAAGGCAGUUGUAUCACCAAAGCCCACCCAGCAUAAAUGAAAACUCACAAAAGCUGGGACCUUGGAGCUCUCUGUAUGACCUGUAGCCAGCUUGACAGUGCUUCCUGUCUCACUGAAUGUGCGGUAACACACACUUCCCAUGGGAGCACUGUGGAAAUUGCAGCAUGGGGGCUGGAGAGAAGCAUCAGCGGUUAAGAGCACUGACUGCUCUUCCGAUGGGGAGAGACGGAGCGUGAGGUCUCCAUGGCUGAGAAGAGAAGCAGGAGGAAGCUUUUCAGAUCUGAGACUGGUUUUGUAAGACACACAAGUAAUCUCCCAAGAUUCCUUGC